rnacentral:rRNA from 1 species
CCUACGGGAGGCAGCAGUGGGGAAUAUUGGGCAAUGGGCGCAAGCCUGACCCAGCAACGCCGCGUGAAGGAAGAAGGCUUUCGGGUUGUAAACUUCUUUUAUAAGCGAGAAAUAUGAUGGUAACUUAUGAAUAAGGAUCGGCUAACUACGUGCCAGCAGCCGCGGUCAUACGUAGGAUCCGAGCAUUAUCCGGAGUGACUGGGUGUAAAGAGUUGCGUAGGUGGCAUAAUAAGUAGCUAGUGAAAUCUGGUGGCUCAACCAUUCAGACUAUUAGCUAAACUGUUAAGCUCGAGACCGUUAGGGGUAACUGGAAUUUCUAGUGUAGGAGUGAAAUCCGUAGAUAUUAGAAGGAACACCAAUAGCGUAGGCAGGUUACUGGGACGGUUCUGACACUAAGGCACGAAAGCGUAGGGAGCAAACGGGAUUAGAUACCCGAGUAGUC